AACGAACGCUGGCGGCAUGCCUAACACAUGCAAGUCGAACGAGACCUUCGGGUCUAGUGGCGCACGGGUGCGUAACGCGUGGGAACCUGCCUUUAGGUUCGGAAUAACUCAGAGAAAUUUGAGCUAAUACCGGAUGAUGUCUUCGGACCAAAGAUUUAUCGCCUUUAGAUGGGCCCGCGUUGUAUUAGCUAGUUGGUGGGGUAAAGGCCUACCAAGGCGACGAUCCAUAGCUGGUCUGAGAGGAUGAUCAGCCACACUGGGACUGAGACACGGCCCAGACUCCUACGGGAGGCAGCAGUGGGGAAUAUUGGACAAUGGGCGAAAGCCUGAUCCAGCAAUGCCGCGUGAGUGAUGAAGGCCUUAGGGUUGUAAAGCUCUUUUACCCGAGAUGAUAAUGACAGUAUCGGGAGAAUAAGCUCCGGCUAACUCCGUG
rnacentral:rRNA from 1 species